GUUGUUUUAAUGCUGUGAGGAGGUGAGUGUUUUUCCUCUGCUCUGUGCAGCUUUCUGUUCUAAAAUUGUUAAUGAGAAAAUAACCAGUGUAAUCGGUGAGAUAGAGUUAUGGUGUGAUUCUGUGCUUGUUGGUGUUGUUCAUGUGUGCUGUGUAUUUGUUUCGCGGGAGUUUUGAGUGUUUUAGCGAACUAUUUAGCUAGCGCAAUGUUUAGCAGCACUUGAGGAUACACACACAGUGACGGCAGCCUGUUAAUUGUUUGUUUCCCGCCAUUUCAGACUGACGUGCUGCAGUGUCCUGUGUACUAAUGCUGCUGCAUUAUUUGUGCAUUUAUUUCAUACAGAAAUAAAUACGCCACUGUCGCUACAGUUCGGCUAAAGUGACACACCAAGUCCCUGUGUCCUACUCCAUUUCACAACACACAACGCAGAGACAGACCGGUUACACUAUCUGCUGACGCUAAAAAAAGAUCCAGAGUGGCACUGGGCAGAUCCAAUCAUUUUAAACUUCAACAGACACCCGCCUUCAAUAUGGAAGGGGAGAUUUGGAGGUACCUGGUCAGGUCUUGGUCAGCCUUCAAAUCCCAGAUGUGGAGACUGCAGGGAUACCUCACAGAGAAGACACUAAAGAGCCAUCUCUCAUUCAUCGAGUGGACUCAUUGGUUUGCAAAUGACCACAAAGAUGCUCCCAUAGGCAGAUUGCUGCAUGGCAUUCACCACUUAUUCAAAUUGAUGAGGUUGAAGCAGUCUUCCUUGUGGUCACUUGCCAUAACACUGUCAUGUGUUUUAUGAAAACACCAUCAGUAACAUUUAAAUUGAGUUGAUGUGGACGGCUCUUUUUUUUGUCCGAUUUCUUCAGUGUUCAGUGCCUGUUUGUGAGAUAUGCAUUGUUUGAAAGAUAAGCCUUUGAUUUUGUUUAAUUUUAAUAUGCC
ensembl:lncRNA